GGUGGCUCAGUGCUAGAGCGCUUGCCUUGUGUGCCUGAGGCCCUGGGUUCGAUUCCCCAGCACCA
rfam:Dipodomys ordii contig_4625, whole genome shotgun sequence.